GACGAACGCUGGCGGCGCGCCUAACACAUGCAAGUCGAACGGAGUUAUUUCAGCAGAAGCUUUCGGGUGGACGCAGGGAUAACUUAGUGACGAACGGGUGAGUAACACGUGAGGAACCUGCCCUGGAGUGGGGGACGAACAGUUGGAACGACUGCUAAUACCGCAUAAGCCCACCAGCACCGCAUGGUGCAGCGGGAAAAACGUACCGGUGGUAUGAGAUGGACCCGCGUCUGAUUAGCUAGUUGGUGAGGUAACGGCUCACCAAGGCGACGAUCAGUAGCCGACCUGAGAGGGUGAUCGGCCACAUUGGGACUGAGACACGGCCCAA
rnacentral:rRNA from 1 species